rnacentral:rRNA from 1 species
AUUGAACGCUGGCGGCAGGCCUAACACAUGCAAGUCGAGCGGAUGAGUGGAGCUUGCUCCAUGAUUCAGCGGCGGACGGGUGAGUAAUGCCUAGGAAUCUGCCUGGUAGUGGGGGACAACGUUUCGAAAGGAACGCUAAUACCGCAUACGUCCUACGGGAGAAAGUGGGGGAUCUUCGGACCUCACGCUCUCAGAUGAGCCUAGGUCGGAUUGGCUAGUUGGUGAGGUAAAGGCUCACCAAGGCGACGAUCCGUAACUGGUCUGAGAGGAUGAUCAGUCACACUGGAACUGAGACACGGUCCAGACUCCUACGGGAGGCAGCAGUGGGGAAUAUUGGACAAUGGGCGAAAGCCUGAUCCAGCCAUGCCGCGUGUGUGAAGAAGGUCUUCGGAUUGUAAAGCACUUUAAGUUGGGAGGAAGGGCAGUAGGUUAACACCUUGCUGUUUUGACGUUACCAACAGAAUAAGCACCGGCUAACUUCGUGCCAGCCGCCGCGGUAACAC